AGAGUUGAAGCCAUACAAGUUUGAGCAAAUUUGCACACCGGACAGUCCGGUGUGAAACGGACAUCCCAUAUGCUACUGCAUUUUUUAAGCAAUUCCGACUUCAUAUUAUGGGCAUAACUUUUAGCUCUGAACUCCAAUUUUGAUGAUCUUUGACUUUUUGGAAAGCUUAUAAAAUUAUCUACAUCUCAGAGUUGAAGCCAUGUCACUUUGAGUAGAUUUGAUUUUGUGAAACACUUCCAAUUCAGUCAGCCCUUCCUCUCAACUUUGUCAACUUCACUUUUGUUUUGCAUCUUUGUAUCUCACUUCUACUUCUUGAUGUGUUGGACUCUUAGCAUGUAUAAAGUGUCUUCAUUAUGACUUUGUAAUGUCUUAUAUGGGUCUUAUAAUGUCUUCUUUGAGGUGUUGCAUCCUUAGAGCCUCAGUCCAAUCCACUUCGCAUCAUGUGAACUACAACACAAAAACACUUGGGAAAUACAUUAGUCCACAGGUUGUGUUGAUCAUCAAACAACAAAACCUAUUGAGCUAAAUGGCCUGAGGUCCAUUUUCCUUAGAAGAGUGCAAUCCGUUUGGCGGAUAAUCCUGUUGAACACAGCCGCACUAAGCACAUAGACAUCCGACAUCACUUUCUGAGAGGCCACCAACAAAGGGGAGAUAUCGAUAUUUAUCAUAUUAGCACCGAGAACCAGCUAGCUGACAUCUUCACCAAGCCUUUAGAUGAGAAAAGGUUUUGCAUGUUGCGUAGUGAGCUAAAUGUCUUGGAUUCGUGGAACUUGGAUUGAUCUACAACAUACAUGUGUUUUAUGCCUUUGAUCAUGUAACUUUGAGCAUUACUAUCUUUACUUUCUUAUUUUUUGGUGCUCAAGUUGUACAUGUCAUCCUCGGACCUCACAAGUCCUUAUGCAAAUGAUGCAGAUGUUUAGGGGGAGGAUGUAUAACAACUUUAUCCUUUGCGACUAAUGUGUUUGCUUGAGUAAUAUUAAUCUAGUCUCAAAGAUGGAAUUGAAAGGAAAAAGAUGGGCUUGGACAAAGAAGGGGCUUCCACUGCAUUCUAGUAUCAAUGUAUCUUGUCCUGGGUCCCUAUCUAUGUUUUCUCAUUGCCUUUGGUUUUACUUGUGAUUUGUGUAAGGAACUGGGGUUAAGGGGCCAAAUAGUUCUUCUAUUUUGGUGCUUAAUGCCAAAGGGCGAGAAAUUAUGUGACAGAACCUCCCAAGGUAUUAGGCCCACCUAUAGAUGUCCUUGUCCUAAGGUCCUCAGACAGUCAUGCAGGUGCGCAUAAUAACUCGGCAAGUUCGGUUAUCUGUAUCUUCAUCAUAUCGCCCAGGAGCGCUUAACCCAUCACACAGAUAUUACACAUAAUCAGAGUAGAGAAUGAGCGAAAAGGAUUACAAUAAUAUACUUUACAUUCAUAUAAAAUUAUAGAAAGAGUAGUUAUUACAUAACCGGGUGUUCGAGUGUGGCACUUAUUAUUACAUUACUGGGAGGCAAAACACCCUCCCCAAAUAAGUCUAGCGUUCUUCCUUUUGCUUGGGCACCACCUUGGAGCAGAAACAACAGAACUCAGCUCUUUCAUCACCUACAACAAGAUGGGUUUGAAAACCCUCAGUACGGAGUGUACUUUUGCAAGUCUUACCCGUCAAAGGAAAAGACUCUCAAGGAUAUGCUGGCCUUUGGGAUUCAAGGUAAAGUUUAUCACGAUUCAAAGACUCUGUUUGCAGAAAAGCUUACUAUGAGUGGAUCUUUAAAAAUCUAUUUUUAUUAAUAGGUUAAGUAGUUAUCUGCAUCUAGAAUUCUUUCUAUCCUAGAUCAAGCACUUGGCCUAUAUAUACUAGCCGUCUUUUAUCGACCCUUCAGUUCACUUGAUUGCUACGUGUAAGUCAAUGACCAAGUCUUCAUGUCCGAGAAGUAACGACGAACAGAAUCGAUUAAUACCCAGCUGGGGAUCUCCAACCACACGAAAUAUGUAGCACUUAACCCUUGCAUAUGUCAACUCGCCACCGGGUUUCUCAAGACAAGAAUGGGUUCAUGCCAACCGAGAGCACAGAUACACCACCGCCCAGCAUCUUGCCACAGAGGGUACAUGCUACUCUCGCCAUCUCUCCACUCCCAUUGCGUGGUGGCCUUUCUGCUAUUGGUCCGACCGAAGCAAAGCUUACCCAUGACGAGGCAUGUGGCCAGAUAAAAGGUCCUCGAUCAUCAAGCCUACAUCGGUUUGGUCCUUAAUCGACUUAGAUGGAGACACUACACCGAGACACCCUUCUCAUGAAAGUCACCCGCCCGGUCUCGUUUUUAUCAUUUAAAACCCAAAGUUUGGUACCUGACAGAGGUACUUCUUUUCAGAUGUGGAACCCAUCACGGCCAUGACGGAUUCAUCAUCAUAAGUAUUUUCUUUGUAAAAAUCCCCAUCCAAUAUGAAGCAUCACCUUUUGUUUUAAAACAAAACAUUUUGUUUUUCUAAAGCAAGGCUAAGCAUCAUAAAAAUCCUUUUCAUAACAGGGUAUCAAGGGAUGGUAAUCAAUUUUUCAUGGAAGGAAAUGCAUCAAUUGUUUAUCACACAACUCCUAUCACCUAAUGCAUCAAACAAGGUGAUAAAGAUUUUAAAUCAACAAUGAAAGGGAUAAUGCACCGGGGCUUGCCUUGCGUUGCAAGAGGUUCCGGGUCUACUCCACAGAUGUCGAAGUAGAAGUUGUUAUCGGCUGGAGGUUUCUCAGCUUGAGUGACAACUUCUUCAACCACAGUUUCUUCCUCGUUUUCUAUACAUGACAAUACAUGUACAUGAAUGUUUAUGUGAUGUCAUGAAUAUGCAGUUACAUAAUAGAAACAUACUAAGUUGUAUCUUGAAUACAACUUUCCUUCACGGUAUACACUAAUCACUAGGGUUUCCUAAGUUGGUAUUCUAUUAGUGUUAAGUAAAUUAACUCUAGGAGGCUAGUUAUUGGGGUUGUGACCAAACAGUGUCCGAAUCAUUUCAAACUUCACCCAAGGUUUUCAAUCAUCAUACUAAGCCUACCCAAAAAGUUAUACCAUUUUUGGAGCUACUAAAUUAUUUCUAAAACUCUAAAAGGCUUGGUUUGAGCAUUUUUAAAUGCUACAUAAUUAUAGGUUUGGAAUAAAAAUCUUGGAACUAUUUUUUAUUAAAUACUAGAUAAUUUUAGGAGUCUAGCAAAAUUUGUUUCAUAAUUUUAUCAUUUUUCUACUAUUUCUACACAUUUCCUAAUCUGCCAGCAAAAAGAAAAAGAGAAACAAUGAAUAAUGUUGGGCUCAAUUCAGCCCAAGUCGGCCCGCGAACAGGGAAAACACGUAAGCGCCCACGCUGGCGAAUUUGCGCAGAGACCCUCGACCUAUUAAAUAAACCGUAAAGAGUCCCUAAGCACUAUUCAUAUGUUUCUCUGACCAUUGCACUUAAGCCCCUGCAUUUCUAUUCCUUCACACAUCAAGUCCCUGGCGACGGCACGCCAAGCACAUGGUCGGAGCCGUGCAUACCCAUUGUCGAGGACGUGCUCCGAUGGUGCCGAGCAUGCGGACACCCUCAGGGAUGUAACUCGAGCCUAUUCACGCGCUUAAUUUGGUCAGAGCACCCUUAACUCAGCUACCCGCGGUGGCAGUGGAACCGGAUCACCGGCGUGACUUUACCGGUGCACCCGAGCCGGUCUAGCUAAAUCCAAGGAUGCGGAAGGACUGAGUGGCUUACUAUGGUUAUGGUUCUUGCGCAAACUUGGACGGAAACUACCCGGAACGGCCGGUCUACGUGAGCUAUGUCCGCGGCGGCGUUCUCGGACAGUACCAUCGCCCGUUCUCUACACUAUGGCACGGUAGCGUUCAAUCAGUCGAGACCAAGAGCUGUCCUAGCGUCAAAGGAUGCAUAAACGCAAAUGAGAGGGACAUGAACGGACCUGCAGAUGGCUGGCCACGGCGCGAGGUCACACGGCGGCGUUCUUGGCCGAUUUGGGGGAAAUUCCAAAUUCGGGGGCUGUGUUGGCUAAUCGGGAGCGAGGAACGGUGCACUAGCUUCGUAACAAGAUAGCGGAGCAGGCCGAACACUCAAUUUAUAGAGGGCGACCAUGAGUAC
rnacentral:lncRNA from 1 species